AUCCAGCUGACGAGUCCCAAAUAGGACGAAACGGGGGACGUCCUGGAU
rnacentral:hammerhead_ribozyme from 1 species